rnacentral:lncRNA from 1 species
AUGAUGAACCCAACCCACGCUGCGCCUUGGUCUCAUUCCAACAACGGACGUUACAGAACUUCCCACCACAAGUGGACCAAGCAGCGUGGAAAAGAGGACUGGACAUGGGAGGACAUCCUGGAUGGCAAGGGAUCCUACACUUGGGAAGAGAUCCUGGCCGGAAGGGAUCGCCUCCCAUGGGAACAGGUGGAGGCACUCAGAAGAGUGGAGGCAGCAGGAGAAAAGGACCAACGGCAACGGUAUAAGGGAACACGGCUGGCAAGGAAGCCCGAGAGGCAGCCCCCCCAAAAAAAUUGGGCGGGGCACACGGGGAGUGUGGUAGAGUCAGGUUGGAGACCUGAGCCAGCUCCCCAUGCUUACCGUGGCAUGCGUUGUACUGGUCAGACACUGUGUUAUGCGGUGGAGCGCACGGUGUCUCCAGUGCGCGGUCACAGCCCGGGACGUUACAUCCCAGCUCCCCGCAAGUGCCGUGCUAGAGUGGGCAUCCAGCCAGGAAGGAGUAUGCCUGCGCAGCACAUCUGGCCACCAGUGCGUCUCCUAGGCCCAGGCUACCCUGCGCCUGCUCUACGCACGGCAGCCAUCAGUCCUCAGCACAGCCCAGUUCGCCCUGUGCCAGCACUACACCCGUGCAGGGCUACAGUUACAACCCAGCCACGACGGGUUGUGCAGGCUGUGCACUCCAGACCUCCAGUACAUCUUCGAGAUCCGGUCUAUCCUGUGCUUGCUCCCAGAGCCAGGCCUCCUGCAUGUCUCCCCAGUCUGGUGAGUCCUGUGCCUGCUCCCAGAGCCAGGCCUCCUGCAUGUCUCCCCAGCCUGGUAAAUCCUGUGCCUGCGCCCAGAGCCAGGCCUACUGCAAGUCCCGCCAGUCCGGAGCCACCAGAGCCGCCCGCCAGUCCGGAGCCGCCAGAGCCGCCCGCCAGUCCGGCGCAGCCAGAGCCGCCCGCCAGUCCGGCGCAGCCAGAGCCGCCCGCCAGUCCGGCGCAGCCAGAGCCGCCCGCCAGUCCGGCGCAGCCAGAGCCGCCCGCCUGUCCGGCGCAGCCAGAGCCGCCCGCCUGUCCGGCGCAGCCAGAGCCGCCCUCCAGUCCGGAGCUCCCAGAGUCGCCCUCCAGUCCGGAGCUCCCAGAGUCGCCCUCCAGUCUGGGAUCCACAGCGAGGGUCCUCAGUCCGGGGUCGGCGGUGAGGGACCCCGAUUUAGAGGCGCCACCAAAGUGGGGUGAGCCAGUGGUGGAGUGGGGUCUGCGUCUCGCCCCUGAGCCGCCACCGCGGAUAGAUGCCCACCCGAACCCUCCGCUAUAG